GAUGAACGCUAGCGGUGUGCCUAAUGCAUGCAAGUCGAACGGGAUCCUUUGGAUUCGUCUGAAGGUGAGAGUGGCGAACGGGUGAGUAACACGUAGGUGACCUGCCCCGGAGAGGGGGACAACCACUGGAAACGGUGGCUAAUACCCCAGAUGUUAUUGCGCUUAGAAAGCAAUUACUAAAGUUCCGGCGCUCCGGGAGGGGCCUGCGGCCCAUCAGCUUGUUGGUAAGGUAAUGGCUUACCAAGGCUAAGACGGGUAGGGGGCGUGAGAGCGUGACCCCCCACACUGGUACUGAGACACGGACCAGAUACCUGCGGGUAGCAGCAGCAAGGAAUAUUGCCCAAUGGACGAAAGUCUGAGGCAGCAACACCGCGUGGAGGAUGAAGGCCUUCGGGUUGUAAACUCCUUUUCUGGGGGAAGAGAAAGGACGGUACCCCAGGUAUAAGUCUCGGCUAACUACGUGCCAGCAGCCGCGGUAAUG
rnacentral:rRNA from 1 species